AUUCACUCACAGCAGAAGCACCUCCGUCCCCCGCUGCCUGCACAUCAUACCAUAUCAUAAACCGCUACCAUUACUGCCAGCGAGCUAACAACAUACCCUUCAAAAACAGGAUCUCACAAACGGCCGAGGCGUUGAUGGAGGGGCCACUGAGAGGUGUUUGGGAAGGACACUAUGUUUCCCUGUGUCUCCUCCUGGCCCUCUUCUGAUCCCCCUGCCGCUCUGGGCCAUGCUCCGCCCAUUCCCCCGGUACAGCCGCCCAAUCAGCCACUGCCUGACCUGCUGCGGAGCUGUGUUGUGCUCCCUUCCCCAUCCACGCGCCUGAGCCCUUGUACCAACGACAUGGAGUCCAUGAUUGUGGUGACGGAGUACGAGCCCAGUGGUGGCUCAGGGCAAGAGGGCGGAGAGGAGGAGGAGGUGGAGGACAUGGACAGCUCGGAAACGCCUGAGCCCGCGUCGUCAGGUCCGGUACCGCCCUUCCGUAUGGCCUCCUGUGAUCUUUUAUCCCACACGGUGGGCCGCCCGGAAGCGCUCUUCCCAGAGCCUCAGGAGCACAGAGGUAGACUCAGCCUUUCCGACAGAAAGCUGUCACUACAGGAACGCUCGCAGACGCUUUCCUCGCCCUGCGGUUCGCCGGGGUUGAACGGACGCUAUAUUUACCCAUCGCUGCCCUAUUCGCCAAUCACCUCCCCUCACUCUUCUCCACGCCUCCCUCGAAGACCAACCGUGGAGUCUCAUCGUGUCUCCAUCACAGACCUGCAGGACUGCGUGCAGCUCAACCAGUACAAGCUGAAAGAUGAGAUCGGAAAGGGCUCCUAUGGAGUUGUCAAGCUGGCGUACAAUGAAGACGAUAACACGUACUAUGCCAUGAAAGUGCUGUCCAAGAAGCGACUGAUGAGGCAGGCUGGGUUCCCGCGCAGACCUCCUCCUCGUGGGGCAAAAUCAGCCCCUGAGGGCCCACCUCAGCCCAAAGGGCCUCUGGAGCGAGUUUACCAGGAGAUAGCCAUUCUCAAGAAGCUAGAUCACCCUAAUGUGGUUAAGCUUGUGGAGGUGCUGGAUGAUCCAAGUGAGGACCAUCUGUACAUGGUAUUCGAGCUUGUCAAACGAGGAGCAGUGAUGGAGGUUCCUACUGAUAAGCCCCUGGAUGAGGACCAGGCACGCUUCUACUUCCAGGACUUGCUGAGAGGCAUUGAGUAUUUACAUUAUCAGAAAAUCAUUCAUCGGGACAUCAAGCCUUCCAACCUGCUUGUGGGAGAAGAUGGCCAUGUUAAAAUUGCCGACUUUGGGGUCAGUAACCAGUUUGAGGGAGCAGACGCCCUCCUGACCAGCACAGUUGGGACGCCAGCGUUUCUCGCCCCAGAAACCCUCUCAGAAACCCGCAAGAACUUCUCUGGAAAGGCUCUGGAUGUGUGGGCAAUGGGAGUCACCUUGUACUGUUUCAUCUUCGGAGUGUGUCCAUUUAUGGAUGAGCGUAUUUUGAGCCUCCAUCAGAAGAUCAAGACCCAACCAGUGGAGCUUCCCGAGAACGCGGACAUAUCGGAUGACUUAAAGGACCUUCUUUUUAAAAUGUUGGACAAGAAUCCUGAAACCAGAAUUACCGUCCCACAAAUCAAGGUGCACCCAUGGGUGACGCGGCACGGCGCUGAGCCCCUCCCCCCUGAGGACGACAACUGCUGCAGCCUGAUAGAAGUGACAGAGGAGGAGGUGGAAAACUCUGUCAAGCACAUCCCCAGCCUGGCCACAGUGAUCUUGGUUAGGACUAUGCUGCGCAAGCGUUCUUUUGGGAACCCGUUUGAUUGGGGCCGCAGGGAAGACAGGAGUCCCGCCGCACCAGGACACACGCUAUCAACACAAAAGAAGAUAUUUUGAAAAUGUGGGUAACCAAGGAGUUGACGGUAGCCAUUGACUUCCAUAGUAUUUUUUUCCACACUGUGGAAGUCAGUGGCUACCGUCAACAGUUCAGUUACCAACAUCCUUCAGAACACCUUCUUUUUAUCUCAACAGAAGAAAGAAAUUCAUACAAGUUUGGAAUGAUGAGGGAAACAAGAGAGCGAGGAAGGCAUGCGGAGCAUGGACCUGCCCUUCGUGGGCGAGGAUGAAGUUCUUUCCUGAUAGUUGUGGUGGGCGUCUUGCUCGGGCGAAAUGCGUAAGGAUGGGGCUGUCGUGGCUUCCGGAAGGCCAGGAUAUGGACCUGGGGCUGGGGCGUGGACGGAAAGAUGGAAGAAAGGCGGAAGCUCUUGUUGGCUUGUUGAUGUGGAGGGUGCCCACCCACUCAUGCAUGCAUUUGUACAGUCCACAGCAGCAUGCACUGUAUCUGUCCGCCCAGGUCUCUGCUGUCUCUCAGGACCUGUUUUCUUGUGUGCGCGUGUGUUUCUACUCUCCUCUCCGGCACGGAGAUUUCUGCUUUACUCCUCUACUUCAGCUAGGGGGCGCCACCGCAAGGCUAAAUAGAAUUUUUUAAGAAAAAAAACACAAUUUCUUAAGUUUGUCCAUCACUCGUUAGUUAAAGAGACAUGCUGCUUAUUGCGGUUCUUAUAGAUUAUUAGAAGUGAAUUUGAACAUUAUUAAAAAAGGUCCAAAAAGUUCUUGAAAAGUCAGGUUUGUUUGGUCAAAUAAAACAAAUAAUAUAUAGAACUAAAAAUCAAGGCAAAAAAAAUGAUAAAUAGCCUUUGCACAUUUGCGAACAAUAACCUUUAACUCGUUUUUAAUUCUUAAUGAACGAUUUCUUAGGUUUGUCCAUCGCUCAUUAAUUAUAGAGACAUGCUGUCUGAUUGUAUAUGAUAUGAUUUGAAAAUUAUAAAAUAAAAAAUAGCUUAGACUCAUCAGAAAUUUCAAAUUGAAAAUCUUGAUUAAAUUAGGAUUAAUAAUAAAAAAAUAUGUAAGAUACAAAAAAUAAUUAAAAUUAAUUUUUCUGACAGCAACCUCUAAGAUGGUUUUAGAAUAAUUUUUUAAUUUGAUUUCUUAGAUUUUUCCAGCACUCAUUAAUUAGAGAGACAUGCUGCUUUAUUGCAGUUUUACAGAUCUUAUAGAUUAUUAUAACUGAAUUUGAACGUAAUAAAAUAAACUCAGACUUUCAUCAGAAAUUAAUUUCUUCUUGAAAAAAAAUCUUCUUGAAAGUCAGGUUUGUUCGGUCAAAUAAAAUAAAUAGCAUAUAGAAAUAUAAAUCAAGGCACACAAAAAAUAAAUAAAUAAAUAAAUAGCCUUUGCACAUUUGCGGACAAUAACCUUUAACUAGUUUUUAAUUCUUAAUGUAUAAUUUUUAGAUUUGUCCAUCACUUAUUAAUUAGAGAGACAUGCUGCCUGAUUGUAAAUGAUAUGAUUUAAAAUAAAGAACAACUCAGACUUUCAUCAGAAAUUAAUUUCAGCUUGAAAAUCUCAGAAAUCAGCUUUGUUUGAUCAAAUUGAGAUGAAUGAAUUAAUAGUAAAAUACAUAUAAAAUGAAAUAAGUAGCUUUAAAUAAUUAAAAUUCUCCAAAUUUGCUGACAACAAUCUCUAAGAUGUUCUUAUAGGAAAUGAGUUUCUUAGUGUUUUCCAUUUGUAAUUAAUUAGAGAGACUUGCUGCUUUAUCUCAUUAGAUUAUCAGAACUGAAUUUUAAAAGUAAUAAAUGAAAAAUAAAAACAGUUCAGACUUUCAUCAAAAAUGAAUUUCUUCUCAAAAAAAAAAAAAAGUUGGAAAUCAGGUUUGUUUGGUCAAAUAAAAUAAUUAAUUUAUAUUUAAAAAAAAAUCAAGGCAAAUAAAAUAAUAAAUAGCCUUUGCACAUUUGCAGAACAUAACCUUUAACUAGUUUUUAAUAAAUAAUGUAUGAUUUCUUAGGUUUGUCCAUCACUCAUUAAUUACGGAGUCAUGCUGCCUGAUUGUAUAUGAUAUGAUUUGAAAAUAAAAUAAAAAAUAGCUCAAAUUCCAAAAAUUAAAUUUUAACUUGAAAAUCUUCUCAGAAAACAGGAUUGUUUGAUUAAAUUACGAUAGUAACCAAUCAAUUAAUUUAUAAUAAAAUAUAUGUAAGUACAAAAACGAAUACAUUAAGUAAUAAAUAGCUUUAAAUAAUUUAAAAAAAAACUUUUUUUUUUCUUCAAUCAUUAAUUAGAGAACCAUGUUGCUUUAUUGCAGCUUUUCAGAUCUUGUUGGACUAUUAGAACUGAAUUUUUAAUUAAUAUAUGGGAAAAAAAAAAAACUCAGACUUUCGUCAGAAAUUAAUUUCAACUUCAGCUGAAAUUCUUCUCAAAAUCAGGUUUGUUUAAUUAAAUUAAGUACAAUAAAAAAAAAUAAAAAUAAAAAAACAACUAAAAGUAAAUAAAAAGACAAUUUUUUAACAAGUUAAAUUCUUAAAAUUUGCAGUCAGGAAAUGUGUAUAAUGCCAUUUAGGGAAAAUGCAGAUAUGUUUGUAUGUGUGUGUUUGUUUGUAUAUUAAAUCACACAACUUUGUGUUUAUAUUAUAACGUCAGCGCUGUAGAUGGUGACCAGGACCAAACCUGGAAACUAUCUCGUUUUUUUUUUUUAACAACAAAGCCCGAAACCAAGAGAUGAAAGAGUUAUGGUCAUAGUACGUAGGUCAAUUAUUUAGGGCACAAAUAACCUUUAGGGAAUGCCAGAAUAAUGUGACCGUUCUUCUUCUUCUUGUAAGUAACAUGACCCUUUUAAUCAUGAAGGUAACAGUUUCUUACUGUAAUUUCACUUCCUUUUCCUGUGUAGACCAAAAUGCCAUGUAGUAGUGCAUUUCCGACUUCCGUCAUGGUCAGAGUGAGUUCGUUAUCGGCAUUUCUAUAUAGGACGCAUACUCUUGAGGAAAUACAAUAACUUUGUGCAAUCUAUGCAUGACUUUUCACUUAAGGAAUCAAUGUUUGUCAGUCUGUUUUGACACAAAUGUAUGCCUUACAUUUUCAUACUCAUAACUGUAGCAUAGAUCAUCAGUACGUGUGUAGAGUUUUUUGGUACGAUAGAAUUGUAGAUAAAAGUAGAAUCGGAGAUUUUAGAUAAGCAGCGUAGAACUAUAGUAGAACUUGCUUUUAAAGUUAGCAAAAAUAGUCCAAAGCCCUGUUGAGAUUUUCUCAAUGUGCACUACGGUCAUGUAUCUCCUGUGUUGAUUAUUUUUCUAUGAUUGUUUGUUUGUUCGCUCUAUUUAGCCGUAGUUUUUGAAAUGUUGGAGUGAUGGUGCUUUUCCACCACUGAAAAUUAAUAACAUAGCUCAUGCUUCCAUGUAUCAGGGGAGUCUUUUCUGCACAAGUAGGUUGAAUGUAUGUUGUAACUCUAUACCUUUGUUUUUUCCACUUUUUUUGGUUUCCUGCAUGUUAAGCUCUGCUGUAUUUUAUAGUACUUGUUUUCUCUCUUUAAGACUUUGAUUUGAAUCUUUUGUGUAGGUACUAUUACUAUGCAUAAGAAAUCUCACAUUGUGGUGCAGUUCUGGACUGUGUCAGUCAGUCGGUUGGUCUCUCGUGUAUGUAUUGGAUGUUGAUUAUUGAAGGAAACUUGUAAUAUUGACUUAAAUAUGCAUGUGCACCGACCGGAGCUGGUUAUACAAUAUCACUACUGUAUAUGUACGUGGACAUUUGAACAGAUUUUGAUGACCUUUAAAUAAUAUAUUCAGGACCCGAGAAGCGCCGUUCCCCUUUUUUGAGUAAGUAUUUAUAGGGAAUAUCUGAAAAUAUAUAAAGGUUUAUCUUUGCACAUAAGAACGUUUAGCAGAAUUCAGAUGAUGCAUGUUUGAAGGUCUCCAUGUUUUCUUCUGUACAAUCAAAACUAGAAGCAAAACUCACCAGCUGAAAUCAAAGACAGCAUUUAACCAUUUCCGAUGUACAGCCGCUUUCUCAAUGACUGACAUUGCAGAUGUGUACCUGUAUUGAAGGGAACGCUGUACUGUAUAUUUAUAACCUCAUUCCUCACUGUUUCUGCCCAGUAUUUCUCAAAGGGCUAGAGUAAAUGUUUGCGUCCAUAUUUCACACUAGCGACUGCGUUUUGAGCACCGUUGAGAGGGCUGUUUACAGGGAUGUUACAUAAAUGCAUGCCGUCACAAUCACGCAAUUUCAUUCAGCAUGUUUUCAAAGCAUGUUUGAGCUCUUUAUAGCAUCCUCUGAUCUCAUUGCUGAUCAUUCUAUAUAUUGUAUCCAGUUGAUUAUUUGAAUAAAUUAAAGUUGCCUUUA